GUCCAUAUAGGUGAUUAUGCUAAUGAAUGCUUAUUGCACAACAUAUGUAAGUUAUCAGUUUGUAAAUGUUGGAGACCCUGACUGUACAUUAAUAACAUCAAACCUUUCUCUGUUCACAUUAUUGUCAACUGGACUAAAACUGAGCGUUUCACAACCCAAAUGUUUAACGUCCUUCAGGUCCAGUGUGUCUGUCACUGCUCUACUCUCCACCGCUCAUAUAUGUCGUUUUGGGAGUUAUUGGCAAUCAACCAAUAAUGUUUGUGUGAAAGCUGCUCAGCCGGUUUCUUUCCAUUCCAACGGCUGCUUCUCUGGAAACAGUUUAAAGUGAAACUAAAGUUUUCUCCUCACAGUGUCGGCAGAUUAUCAGGAGGAGGAAAGUGACAACUGGCUGUGAACUGAAUGUGUUUUUCAAGUGUUCGUUUAGUGAGAAGCAGAUUAAUGAGGACUUUGUGGUUGUUGUAGUUUUUACAGAAGAUGAAGAUGUUUGUGGUGUUUGUGAUCCUUGUGCACGUUUCCCAGCAUGCCUCAGCUGUGGAGCUGUAUGAGGGGGAGGAGUUUGUCCUGCUGCCCUGUGAAUAUAAAACUUUUGAACUGAACACCCCACAGUGGUGUGGAGCCGCUACGAUCUCAAUCCUCCAACCGUCCACCAGCGUCAGCAGGAAGGUGAUGAAUUUAUUUACCAAAACCAGCUUUACAGCGGCCGAACAUCCAUGAUGGCUGACGCUCUGGAAACUGGAGACCUCAGCCUCAAGCUGACAAAACUCCGCCUCUCUGACAGCGGCACCUACACCUGCACCGCCAGAGCAUUAGGAGGACAACGGAGAGUGAGAGAAGUACAGCUGAAGGUCAAAGUUUACCAGCAUGCCUCAGCUGUGGAGCUGUAUGACUGGGAUGAGUUUGUCCUGCUGCCCUGUGAGUUUCAAACCUUUGACAUGGACGACCCCACAGUGGUGUGGAGCCGCUACGAUCUCAAUCCUCCAACCGUCCACCAGCAUCAGCAGGAAGGUGAUGAACUUAAAGACCAAAACCAGCUUUACAGCGGCCGAACAUCCAUGAUGGCUGACGCUCUGGAAACUGGAGACCUCAGCCUCAAUCUGACAAAACUCCACAUCUCUGACAGCGGCACCUACACCUGCACCGCCAGAGCAUUAGGAGGACAACGGAGAGUGAGAGAAGUACAGCUGCAGGUCAAAGAACGAUUUCCAUCCUGGGCCAAAGCUCUCCUGGUUCUCCUGGUUCUUGGUCUUAUUGUUGGGGGUCUUUUGGUGCAUUUUCGGCAGUAUUUCAUGUCAGGUAUGUUACUACUACAUUACCCAUAAUGCCGAUGGUUAUCGUCUUUGCUCCUUGACUGCUCCUUGACGGUUUUGUGGUUUUCAUAGAAGUAUGGGACAGUGAGGUCUGGGAUUAUAAACCGAGGGUCACACUGUCUACCUGAGCAGCUGCAGCAUAAAGAGACAGUGAAAAUAGUCUGUUCAUAGUCAUAUCAACAUUAUACAGGCAACAUAUUCACCUUUCACUGUA
rnacentral:lncRNA from 15 species